CAUCAUUUAUUUGCUGAAACAAACCUCCCAACCUGCCAUAACUUUGACUAAAAGAAUUUCAUUUUUCUUUGGGUUUGGGUAAUUUGACCUACAUGGGAGGAGAUGAAAAGGGGUACCUAAACCUGAUGGAUUCCAGAAAACUUUUAGAACCCUCAGAAUAUCCUAUAAGAAUGAAUUAGCCAUAGGUUUUCCUGAAACCACACCUGAUCUCACAAGUCCUGGAGAUAAUGAGAAUUAAAAUUGGUCAUGUGAAGGUAGUGAUUCCUUAGUUGCCUAAUGUUUAGAAUUUGUGAAUGCCCAUUGUCAUGACCUGAGUUCAAUUCCUGGUCAAGAAAAAUCUCUGAGAACCAACAGCAUACAGUAAAAGAUGAGGAAGUGGAUGCUCAGAGAGAUUACUUCUAAGAUCACAUAGUUUACAAGUAUCAGAGAAACCCAGUUUUCCUGAUUCCAAGGCCAAUCCUGUAUCUGCUCUGCCAGGCUAUUCCUUACCACUGAUGAAGAAUAACUACUCUUUUGCUAAGCUGGAAAGCCAUGAAAAGAGUAGGGAUAAGAAUAGCCACUCCUCUUGCAAACUUUGCAAAACAAUCAAUUAACUGGUAUUUCUUAAGGUCUACUGAAUAUUCCCAAACCCCUUUGCCCGACCAUUUUUUCCUAGUAUCAGCAAAAAAUGAAGCAAACUAAAAUAUACCCACACGGUCUUCUCUUGUGUACACAUGUGUAUCCAUACAUAAAUAAUACUUUUCUUUUCUUAAAAACCCUUACCUUCUGUCUUAGAAUCAAAACUGUAUAUUAGUUACAAGGCAGAAAAUAAGUGAAGUGUAGGCAAUAACAGUUAAGUGACUUGCCCAGGGUCACACAGCUGGGAAGUGUCUGAGGCUGGAUUAUGAACCCAGGUCCUCCCAUCUCUAAGCUUGGCUCUCAAUCUACUGAGCUACCCAGCUGCCCCAAUACAAUACUUUUCAAUUGUAGUUAUUAUCAAAAUCUAUAUAGGUUUAAACAAUUAAGUGCUUUAGUACUGGAUUUUAUAGAAAGUCUGAUCUGAUAGAAUCAAUAGAAUUUGAUAAAAAGUUUGAAAUGAAAUUGCAAAUAAAGUUCAAAUGUUUUUAUUAGAAUAAAAGCAUUUUCUACACUAAAGUCCUUUGGGAUCCUCAACAUAGCUUCACCUCCCAUUAAAAAUUAUGAGAUCCUGAUUUGUGAGAAAAGAAUUAAUAACAAGAAUUCAUCUGAAGCAAAAAUGAGAGAAUCUAAGUCCAGUAGCAGGAAAAAAGUCAGGAUGAUUGCUGAUGGCCCAGGAUCCAGUCAAAGACCUUGUGAUCAUGGAUGUCAACAACCCUUGUGGGGAUCACAAAUGUCAGUGCCAAAGUAAAGAAGCUGUCUCAGGGCAGAAUCAGAGAAGUGGAUGUUCAGCAAAUUUCUGAGAUAAUCAAUGACAUUAUGGGGCAACGUUUUGACUUGUGAAGAACUGAAUCUAAGAGAGGCAGAGUUGCACGGAGUCCUCAGCUUCAUUCUCUUCCAGAGUCUUCAAAGUCCAGUGGAAGGACAAGAGUCAGGAUGACUGGUGAUCUGGAAUGCAGUGGAUGACCUUGGUGUCUUCUAUAUCUGACCAAGUUCUAAAUCAUUCUACAGUAUCUGCUUCACCUACCUUCCUGGCCGCUGGAACAAAUUGUUAUCUGUCCAUUCUUCCAAGGGAAAGCUGUCAUAUGCUUGGAGUAAACAUCCCCCUAACUCACUGACAGGUUUUGCUUGUCUGUCAAGUUGGUUGGUGUGCACCUUAUACCCAUCAAAAUCUUACCAUAACACUUUCCUGGAAUGGGCAAUAUGAGUACAUGGUAUGGGAUGUUAUAGAUGAAACCAUGAAGAAACAAAUUCCUUUUGUUACCCAUAGUGCCAAAACUACUUGGAUGAGGCACGAGAUAAAUUCA